UUCAUGGUGCUCUUUCUCGAAGGGGCCCCAGUGACAGAGCCAUUCACAAGCACGGGCCAUAAAUGACCGAGCUGAACACCACAUUAAGCACUGCAUUCUCAAAAAAAAAAACACCAUCGACUCUGGAGGAUAGCCAAAAUGCCAGGAACAAAAGGUAAUAAGUCGGACAAGAAGUCAACUACCAAGCAACCUCAGAGUCCUAAAGAGCAGCCGAAGAAAGGUGAUCAGAAAGGAGAUGAUAACAAGAAGCAAGGAGGACAGCCGAAGGGAGAGAAGCAAUAACUUCCAGGCAUUUGUGAAGAUGGCUUUGGAGACACUGCUUGGGUCUUGCCGUCGUAAACAUGGGGGUCCUCGGGGCAGACAGGGCUGAGCGCACCUCCCCUUCCCUCCAUUUUGCUCUUUUCCCCAGAGCCUGCAGACUGUGCUGUUGUGUGGCCUGGCAAUACAGCAUAUGCUCACCCCUGGCAGUGGCAAAAAAAAAAAAAAAAUUAACCUGAUCUCCAUCCAUCACCAUCUGUCGUUCAACCUUUUUCUGUCACCUUCCUGACAUUGUCCUCUUUAGCUUAUUGGAUGCUCAGAAAUAGACUCCAGGUUUGACCAGAUCUUUGCUUAAAGAUCAAAAAAUAAAAUCAAAAAAAUCAUGCAGUCCUUCUCAACUCACCCUAAUGCCAUGAUUGACUUUGUAACAGUUGAUACAUUAUUUUUGUAAAUCACUAAAAUAAACAGUUAUUUAUUACAGCA